AGGAUAAACGCUGGCGGCGUGCCUAAUACAUGCAAGUCGAGCGGCAGCGCGGUCUUCGGACUGGCGGCGAGCGGCGGACGGCUGAGUAACACGUAGGAACGUACCCCAAAGUGAGGCAUAAGCACCAGAAAUGGUGUCUAAUACCGCAUGUGCUCUAAGGAGUAAAGCUUCGGCGCUUUGGGAACGGCCUGCGCAUGAUUAGCUUGUUGGUGAGGUAAAAGCUCACCAAGGCGACGAUCAUUAGCUGGUCUGAGAGGAUGACCAGCCAGACUGGGACUGAGAACGGCCCAGACUCCUACGGGAGGCAGCAGUAGGGAAUUUUCCACAAUGGGCGAAAGCCUGAUGGAGCAACGCCGCGUGCAGGAUGAAUGCCUUCGGGUUGUAAACUGCUUUUAUAUGUGACGAAUAUGACGGUAGCAUAUGAAUAAGGAUCGGCUAACUCCGUGCCAGCAGCCGCGGUAA
rnacentral:rRNA from 1 species